UGGCGCUGGUCACCGCCACAGAAUACGCUUUCCAACGGGUCAGGGUCGGAGUCUCCAGAAGAUACCAUAGGCGUCAUUAUGGAAAACCCUUCUACGGCUAAAGAUAGAGCGUUAUCUUCACUACACAUCUGCCAAGUGUUCGUUUUGUAUGAACACUGAUUUGCAAGGAAUAUAGUGUGUGUGUGUGUUUUACAGUGUUAAGUGUAAACGUGUAAAUUAUGCUAUUUUUAAUGAUUUUGUACUACUUCUACUUAAUGAAAUAUAACUAAAAAAUCUGGA